GGUCAGGUAACCCAGAUUUUGGGGCGUCACAUCUACUAUCUCCUCCAAAUUAAAAGUUCAUCGUUAAUAUUUCAUUCCUGUAAUACUCAUCAACAGUUCUUUGUUGUACCCAAGACAAAGAGAAAUUGCAUCACCUGUCUUCACCUGAACCACUAGAGAUUAUAGUUAAACUCGUAAUUCAUAUUUAUAAUCAUGUAAAUCAACAGUUUCUCUUUGCCACAAAGGCUUAAUAGAACGUUUACUCAAUAUCCUUACCCCAAAGGCUAAAGAUAUUCAAAUGUAAUAACAAUGAUCAUACCAAUCAGUUGUUUAUCUUUGCACUACGGGCCAAAGAUAUUCAACUAUAAAACCAAUAGUCAUGAUCAUACCAAUCAAUUGUCUGUCAGUGCACUACGGCCAAAGACAUACAAUUGUUAACUAAUGGUCAUGAUCCUGCCAAUCACAUCAUCGAAUUAUCCAUGCACUACGGGCCAAUGAUAUUCAUUAAUAUCACCAGUGGUCAUGAUCAUGUCAUACACCUGUCCAUCUUUGCACUACAGGCCAAAGCUAUCAUUCAACAGUUCGUCUUUACACGUAAGCCAAAGAUAUACAACUGUAAAAUGAAUAAUCAACAGUCCAUCUUUGCACGUAAGCCAAAAAAUAUACAACUGUUAACUAAUAAUCAACAUUCCAUCUAUGCACUACGUACGGACCAAAGAUGACUUUCGUUACAAUAUAAGCAUGAGGAUGAUGACAAUGAUAUAAGCAUCAAUUAAACGGAAUCAAGGAUAAAUACUAAAGACUUUAAAUUUAUCCAGAGUUUAAAAAUACCCAAAUUGUCAACAUGAUACUGCUUUGUGGAGUAAACUUCAAGAAUAAUAUUCAUGUAUCAAAAAUAACUUUGGACAAAAAAGAUUUUAAUUUUUGUCGUGAAUAGUACCCCGUGAAUAGUACUUCAGGAAUAGUACCCCGGAAAUAGUACCCCGAUAUAAAAAGCGCCCGAAUACCCGAGUGAAUAAUAUUUGAGUGAAUAGUAACUCGUGAAUAAUAUCCUGUAAAUAGUACCCCAAUAUGAAAAGUACCCCGAAUACCCGAGUGAAUAAUAUUCGAGUGAAUACUAACCGAGUGAAUAGUAACUCAUGAAUAGUAACUCGUGAUUAGUUCCCCGGGUGAAAAUAUUAAUAUUUAAUAAGAAAGUUCAGAUCAAUAUUCCAAUGGAACGAUACUGGAUGAAGCACAAAACUCAAGGAUAUUCCACUAAUUUUAGGAAUUAUAGAAGCAAUACUUAUCAUAGUAAGUUUAGAUUUAAGAAUAUGAAAAGAAAUAACAUACGAAACUGUAAAUGGAUGAAUACGGUACGUAAUCCACAUAGACAGAUUAUUCCCACAGAUUAAAGGAUAAAUACGAAAAAUAGUAUUCCUUACGAAUACAACAAAUA
rnacentral:lncRNA from 1 species